rnacentral:lncRNA from 1 species
UGCUAUUUAUUCCAUCUUUAAUAUUGUAGCUAACUGUAAUUUGCCCGCGACUAACUUAUUCUUAUCUUGGUCAAUGCACGAAGUAAUUGCACAUAUUAUAAAAAGAUAAGAUCUCCAUAUUCCAGUUGGCUAGCAUGUGCUAUCUAUUUAAUUUUUAAAAUCGUAACUAACUGGCGUUUGCUUUUGUUUAAUCUCAACUCAAACUUAAAAUAAAUACAGUUGUGGGAAAGCUAAAAUUUAAAAUAAAUACAAUUGUGGGAAACUACGGUAGUUAUGUACAUGACAAAACCAUAAAAAGAAAAACCAAAUAUUUCUAAAUCCCGAAUUAAAAACUUAGGAUCAUGAAAAGGGUCCCUUAGAUGCUACUAACACUGCUUGAUGCUGAUUUAAUUUGGUAUGAAAUAAUGACAACUUGAACAAGAUUUCCAGAUUCGGAUUAGCAAGAUUUGAUGAUUGGCUCUUUCAGCAGAAGAAUAACCCGACACUCACCAAGUUUUUCGACCAAGUGGUUGCUCUCCUCUGGUGUAUAUGGAAGAACCGGAACAAGCAUAUCUUCGGUCACCAUCCCCUGUCACCGCAGCAAACUUUAUUCCAGGCGGCAACUCUGCUGGAUAACCUCAGAAACUCAAAUCAUCCACCAGAAACUGAAAAGAAAGAUGAUACUGCACCUGCUCGGUGGAGUCCUCCCCCUCUCGGAACCCUAAAGAUCAACGUGGACGCGUCCUUUAGUGAAUUGCACGAAGCUGAAGCAGCGACUGAAGAUGACCCGAACCCAGCACAGAACAGAGCAGCGAUUGCGUGUCUAUGCAGGGACUCACGAGGCUGUCUCGUAGAUGGCUUCGCGCAAGUCGUUGAUGCUUCCUCAGCCACCCAAGCGGAAGCCCUAGCUCUCCUUCAAACCCUAGAUCUGCUCUCCU